AGUGAACGCUGGCGGUAGGCCUAACACAUGCAAGUCGAACGGCAGCACAGUAAGAGCUUGCUCUUACGGGUGGCGAGUGGCGGACGGGUGAGGAAUACAUCGGAAUCUACUUUUUCGUGGGGGAUAACGUAGGGAAACUUACGCUAAUACCGCAUACGACCUACGGGUGGAAGCAGGGGAUCUUCGGACCUUGCGCGAUUGAAUGAGCCGAUGUCGGAUUAGCUAGUUGGCGGGGUAAAGGCCCACCAAGGCGACGAUCCGUAGCUGGUCUGAGAGGAUGAUCAGCCACACUGGAACUGAGACACGGUCCAGACUCCUACGGGAGGCAGCAGUGGGGAAUAUUGGACAAUGGGCGCAAGCCUGAUCCAGCCAUACCGCGUGGGUGAAGAAGGCCUUCGGGUUGUAAAGCCCUCUUGUUGGGAAAGAAAAGCAGCAGGUUAAUACCCCGCUGUUCUGACGGUACCCAAAGAAUAAGCACCGGCUAACUUCGUG
rnacentral:rRNA from 1 species